rnacentral:lncRNA from 1 species
GCAGUUUGGUUAUUUCAGUUGUUUGGUUGUUCCAUUACACAUAUGGCAGAAUGCAGCUACAAUCUCCUUCCAAAGCGGUAUGUUUGUGACUUUGGAAAACUCCUGGGAGUUGUGAUUUCAGUAUGCCUGAGUGUGUGAAUGGAUACAGGUGGCUAGGUGGCUGAAGGUCUGUUUUCUUCACACUGCGUUUAAUGAUACAUCUAUAAUCUACUCAAAUUCUCAGUGUCAUCUCAGCUCAUGGUGGCCGUGGAGGCACUGUUACCAACAGGAGCCAGGAAUAGCUUGCAUUGUAGCUACUGCACAAAAAAACUGCUUUGUGCUUUUCACUGACAAGAUCUUCAUAGGCUGUGGCCCAGAGAAAUGUGCUGAGCUCCUUCUCUUCACCACUUUAAACGUUGUGGGGCAUGUCUUGUGGCUCUCAGACAGGGAGAGGAGAGAAGGCUGCAGAAGCCAUCCUCUUUCCUUCAGCUGACAGUGAAAAGCAGAUUUCUUGAUUGUAUGCAAAGGAUAUUGGAAAUGAUAAACUACAGUGGAAUUAUUCAAGAUGUGGGGUAAUCUUUAAGCAGAAAAUACACUGGCAGGUUGGUUUUGCUUUUUUUUUUUGAAAGCCUAGUUCAAAGAGUAUGCAGGCAUAUAAU